CUAGCGUUGCCAAUCGCUGCCACCGCUAGCCCUACGAGUCACCGUUGAUCGUCUCCUCUUAGAUCACCUCACCACUAGCCGAUUCGGUAACUGCUGCGAAAAGGCCAAAGAAUAGUGCAUUAGAAGUUGAUCUGGAUUUCGAGCACAAUCUGAGACUGCCCCUGUAAUCAUAGAGAUGAGUUUGAGAGCAAGCCAUUGGUUGCAAGUGAAGGAGGCAAUUUGGUGAAACUGAAGGAUGUUCUUGAAGGGCCCCAGACACUUGCUUUUCAAUUGAAGCCCAAGACGGUGGUGCUAAGGGUGUCAAUGCACUGCAAUGGUUGUACAAGAAAAGUUAAGACACACAUCUCAAAGAUGGAAGGUGGGGAAGACGCAAAUGCUAGAAGGCUUAUUUAAGGAAAAUAAUCUACCACUAGAUAUAUGCAAAGGAAUAUCUUAAAUAUGGUAUCCACCAAAUCAAGUUGCAAUUGGUUUGGUUUGUUUGGGAGUGCUAUAUUGUUGUUAACUAGCAAUAAGAGACAGGAUAUUCUCGAUAUCAUUCAUAUUCCCUAGUUUUUUGACCUGUCUGCAGCAAUGCAUCUUGCCAACGCAAGGCAGACUAAGAUUGAUGAUGCUACUGAUGAUGACAUCCCCAGUACCUGGGGGAGGCAAUUUACAGAUGCUACUUUCUCUGAUUCAUCGCAUUCAAAAGUUUCAAAGGUUAGGCAUUUGAGAUGAUGUUUCUAGGAUAGGUAUGAAGCAUAAUUUGUUCUUUUUUCUUUUCAUUUAUUAUAAUUUCUCUUGUUUCAUCAAUUUGAUUAAAUUCAAAAGCAUGUGGUACCGUUUUACUCUUCUUUUUUUUUUUUUGGUUGUCUAUGUGACUAUAAUUCAUCUGGUUUGAAGUGGAUCUCUUAAAGUAAAAGAAAAUCUAGAAUGUUUUAUUUGUAGAUUUCUAGUCAUUUAGGGUCAGUGAGCAUGCCCAAAAACUGUUUUCAAUUAUCUUUUUUUAUCUUUAUGCUUUUGUUGGCUUUCAUUGCUUUAUUAUGGAUUUUCUUUACAAGGAUUAUAAUUUGUUAAAUCUUUAUAUCAAAUUGUGUUACUUUUUUAUUUUUUAUUUUGUAAACAAUGUUUGGUUCCAAAACCUGUUGCAAACUUGAUUUGCUUAAACCUAUGGUUUCAUGCAACAUGAACAUUAGAUGGAAAUGUACUAUCUAUACCAACAUAGUUCUCUAAAUUGUUUGGUUAUUUUGAACGAAGAUGUGUUAGAGACUAGCACAUAUCAAAAUUGUUCACAUAUAUAUAUAUAUAUAUAUAUAAGAACACUCCAAAAUUAUUAGAGAAAAUCAUAUGAAAAGCAUUACAUUAGGAAAAAAAAUUGGAUCACUGUGGAUUUGUAUGCUUUCCGUGUUUCUUAUUACAUUUACUUAUUAACUGUUAGCUUCAUUUCUAUAUAUUUAUUUUUGUGUGUUGGAAGUUGUCAAUUGCAUACUUUAUGUGGAUAUGCACAUGAUUUAUUCUUUUCUGAGAUAUUUGAAGGUACGUUUGGGGUGCACAAGUUGUAGCCCGAAGAAUGCCUAACAUGGGUACUAUUAAGAGAUUAACCAUUUGGUUGUACUCAGGAGGGUUCGAAAAGUGUCAUGAAGUGUUCAUGAAAAGUCGUUUGUCUGAAAUUAUGAAAUUUUACUUUAAACUUAAGAAACGUUUCUAGGAGUGUGUGACACAAACACAGCUCCUCCCUAGAAGUGGCCAUGCUACUUAGGUGCCCACAAUCACAUUGCUCUCUAUCUAUAUCAGUUGAUUUUUCUUGGAAAUCACGGUGUAUCUGGCUCAUUUUAUUCUGUAGCUUGCACCAAAGUUAGCUUGCACCUGCAACUCACUUUUAAGCCAACAUGUUUAUGAUUAAAAAAUAUUAUGGCUGGGAAACGAUGAAGCUGACAGAAUUCUCUACAAGUGCUGAAUUAGAGGGCUUUCGUGCAUCAAAAGAGGUAAUGCUUUCUUCAUAUAAAUUGACAAUUAUGAAUAAUCUAAAAUCAGAUAGUGUAUCAUUUAAGAUGAAUCAAGUGGUAUCAGAGAUCUUGGUUUAGUAGUUCUAAGUGUUCAACUAUUUGAUUUUCACUUAAUAAUGGAAUGUGCAAGUGUUGGUAGUUGUCUUUCUCAUGCUUUAAUGAUAUAAUUUGCUUUAUGCAUGCAUCCCUUUCUUCAUUGGACUUCUCGUGAAGUAUGCAGUUUUUAUUAGUUAGUUACACAUUUGUAUAAUAGUAUGAUAACUACAAUUAGAUCUUUGCUUCUUCUUUUUCUUUUUCUUUUUUUUUUCUUUUUUUUUUUUUUUUUUUUUUUUUUUUUUUUGUGUGGUACCAUUCAUUUUGCAAGUAUGGCUACAAGUCAACAAGUCUUGCUCAUUUUGACAGUCACAUGAAUUAAUUUAUCAAUAUGGGGGAGCAGAAGACCCCACUUUAGAUGAUGAAGAAUGGUCGCAGAUAUCUGAAAUGCACUCAAGGUAUUUGCACAAUCAACAUUCAAUUGCAUUUCUUUUGUAGAACAUUAAAUAUUUGAGAUGGAUAGAGCCUCUUAAACUAAGUUGUUGGUUAUAGUAAAACUUCUGUUGAACUUGCAAUUUUUGUGGGUAAAGUGACAUUUUGUUUUUACAUGCUUCAUGUCAUGCUAGAGGUAUUUAAUGUUGAGACAUUUGAAGCGGUGUGAUCAGUCGGACUUUAUCUUUUGUAAGACUAAAAUAAUCUCUACAAAUAGCUAGUUUCUUCAUAGCGAUUUCUAAAUUAAUUUGUGAUUUUAUUUUUCAGGUCAGAAAUUUCUUAGAGAGAUGCAAAAUAUGGUCAAAGAAUUCAAGAACUUAGUUUUUCAAGUUUUUCAUUUUUUAAUACAUGUAAGCACAAUUUAAAACUU